rnacentral:rRNA from 1 species
AAACCACUUGAACCCUCCUCAACCCACUUGACCCAUUCCAACCCAACCUAAUGCAAAUUAACUAGGACCUACCCUAGUGCACACUAGUUGACAUAACCCCAACCAACCCUUAUCCAACUAAACCGAACCAACCUCAACGUAAAUCUACCUUUUUCAGACCUAGGAUAUACUUAGGUCUUUCAUGAACCAAACCGUUAUAGUUAUAUAAGCCCAUCAACAAUCACAAGCAAGCGAAGACCUUAACACAGUAAGACAUGCAAGGGAGUGGAAUCAAACCAUGUCCUAAUCUUUCGAGUCACAAAAAAGUAGGUCCGACUCCCCUCAUAUUGUGAUGCUUGGUGGGUCGUCCUAGAUCCUUUCGAUGACCUAUGUUGAAGCGAUAUCUAUAUGAUCAGAUCAAUUUCGUUAGUGCUCUCGGCUCGGUGAGUCCUUUCUUCUAUGAUGAACUAGUGGCACCAGUCCUACAUUUUGUCUCUGUGGACUCUCAUAUCGAUCCGAAUGAAUCAAUCUUUUCAUGGACUCUCAUAUCGAUCCGAAUGAAUCAGUCUUUUCAUGGACCACAAUGGUAUAUCUUUGCCUACUAGGCAAGAUGAUAACAAGUUACAAAUUUGUCUCGUAGGAUUAGAUGCCCCUGUAUUCUCAAAUGUAAACGAUGGAUAUUAUGCACUGUGCGUAUCGACCCGUGCAGUGCUGUAGCUAACUCGUUAAGUAUCCUUCAUGGGGAGUACAUUAGCAAGAAUGAAACUCAAAAGAAUUGGCCGGGGACCCGCACAAGCGGUGGAGCAUGUGGUUUAAUUUGAUGCAAAGUGAAGAACCUUACCAAGGCUUGACAUGCCCCGAAUCCUCUUCAAAGAGAGGGGUACCUUCGGGAAUGCAGACACAGGUGCUGCAUGGCUGUCGUCAGCUCGUGUUGUAAGGUGUUGGGUUAAGUCCCACAACGAGCACGACCCUCGUGUUUAGUUGCCACCAUUGUGUUUGGAACCCUGAAUAGACUGCCGGUGAUAAGCCGGAGGAAGGUGAGGAUGACGUCAAGUCAUCAUGUGCCUUAUGCCCUGGGCGACACAUGUGCUAUAAUGGCCAGGACAAAGGUCGCGAUCCUGCGAGGGUGAGCUAAUUCCAAAAACUCGUCCUCAGUUCGGAUUGCAGGUUGUAACUCUCCUGCAUGAAGCUAGAAUCGUUAGUAAUAGCCGGUCAGCCAUACAGUGGUGAAUUCACUCCCGGGCCUUGUACACACCGCCCCAUCACACUAUGGGAGCUGGCCAUGCUUGAAGUCGUUACCUUAACUGUAAGGAGGGGGAUGCCGAAGGUGGGGCUAGUGACUGGAUUGAAGUCGUAACAAGGUAGCUGUACUGGAACAUGUGACUC